GGCACGGUGGCGCAGUGGUUAGCACUGCUGCCUCACAGCAAGAAGGUCGUGGGUUUGAAGCCGGCCUGUGUGG